rnacentral:rRNA from 1 species
UUCCAUAGGUGAACCUGUGAAAGGAUCAUUG